ensembl:lncRNA
GCUCUUGAGGUAGGUGGAUACAAGUACUUUUCAGUGAGCUCCUGCCCAGGUUGGCUGGAGAAGCAUCCCGCCUUCCCGAGGCUGUGUGAAGACAGGAAGCUGGGGCUGGUUCUUCAGUUUGCGGCUGACUGCAGCAUUGAAUGACUUCACGCUGUUAAUCCCACUGGGUUAGCCGCAGUGGAUGAAGCCAAGCAUAAAGAUAUAGCACUGAAGUUAAUAUCAAGCAAAUACAGGAGCUGACAGAUAGAAGAGGCAAGUAGGUGAUGCUUUUAUCCCCAUUGAUGGCAAAUUGCCCACCACUAAUGCAGUAGUCCUGUAGGUUAAACCACAAGUCUAAAUAAUUAGAUGUCAGGAGUUUUGAAAAUGCUACCUGAGAAUGGGCUGGCCUUUAAAUGUGGGUGAGUUUUAUGUCGUCAAUGAUAAAUGAAUGUCCCGAGUGACUCAUAUAAAUGUAAAUAUUAAGUCAAUAUUGAAGUGGAGACAGCUGGCAUCAUCACUGUGGGCUUGUUGGCCUACCUGAAGAAAACACUGGGAAAAGGCUGAGGUGUGAAUCAAGAGGGAAUUAAACAGUAGUAAAGUGCAUAAUGCCAGUUCACAGGGACUAAGACAGAUUUAUUAAAGUGAGGGAAACGAGAAUUUUCCAAUUUAAUUCGAUAGAGAUUUGUAGAGGGUGUGAAUUCACCUUCUAAUUAUUUCUGUACUGAUGUGAGGUCCUUAGACCCUGGAAAGUACAUUAAUUUUCUUCCCCCUAUACUUUAGUUUUUCAGAGUCUUUAUGACCUAGUCAAUGAAAUAAACAAGAUCAGAUCUUGGGCAAAUGUAGUUUCCUAUCUUUAAUUAAAGGCCUGAAACCUUAAAUUCCAGUUUACUCAAAGACUAGUAGUCAAGGGACGUGCAUGUUAUAGAGACUUUCUUCUUCAGUAUGGCACUCCAUCUUAGCACAGUGUUGGCGUUGUUUGUCGUAGCACAGAGUGAUGCAGAGAAAGAGCUGGGAAUUGUGGUAGCUAGUGGCCGAACUCAAGCUCCUUGUACAAUGCUUUGGCUAAAAAGGUGAGUUGAGCCUUCAGACUUACAUCCGUAGUCAGGAGAUGUUAUGUGGUGUGGAGACACACUUGUGUUUGUACUUGGUACAGUGACUGCUGCACAAAUUUGGUCUGUUUCUGGCACUCAUUAGGCAAGAGUGUGUUGAAUAUGGGUUGGAUAGAAGUGAUCAAUAAGAGUGACUAUAGCAUUAAGUGAUGCUCAUUUAAGCAUUGCAAUGUCAUACUUGUUUCCUUCUGCUGAAGUUGUGCCAUUGAAGAUCAAAAAAUGCAGAUCUGUUCAGAUUAAGUCUUAUGAAAGUGAGCCUUGCUCUGUAAGCUGCUGAUCAGAGCCUUUAUCUCCAAAUUGCUGAAUUUCAAUAUGGAAGCACUAAAAGGAAGCGGUAGCUUGACCCCAUUUAACAGGUGAGAGGUUGCCUCUGCUGGCAUGAGAAGUAUAGCCAAGACAGCAUUAAAAAAACCUUUGUGUACAAGAUAUUUAAUGAGAUAAAAGAAGUUCAAGACAUGCAAGCCAUCUCAUGCAGGUAAAAGUAGACUCAACUCCAGGAAAACCUUAGAGCAUAGGCACUCCUGUUCAGAGCACAGUGCCUAUGCAGUGAUCAUAAGCUCCCUGUUUUGAGUGUUACCACUUUGCCUUUGAACUCUCCUCUUGUGAUCCAUCUGGUUUAGGUUGUGUUGGUGCUUCAUAGCUGCAAAUCACACUAAUAAGGCAUUUCUAACACUGCAGUAAAGAGGACGAAUAAUUGUCUCUGACUGCCUGAAUAGCAGAAAUGCUAAGACAAUAAGCUUU